rnacentral:rRNA from 1 species
AUAACCGGCGAUUUCCGAAUGGGGAAACCCAGUGUGUUUCGACACACUAUCAUUAACUGAAUCCAUAGGUUAAUGAGGCGAACCGGGGGAACUGAAACAUCUAAGUACCCCGAGGAAAAGAAAUCAACCGAGAUUCCCCCAGUAGCGGCGAGCGAACGGGGAGCAGCCCAGAGCCUGAAUCAGUGUGUGUGUUAGUGGAAGCGUCUGGAAAGGCGCGCGAUACAGGGUGACAGCCCCGUACACAAAAAUGCACAUGCUGUGAGCUCGAUGAGUAGGGCGGGACACGUGGUAUCCUGUCUGAAUAUGGGGGGACCAUCCUCCAAGGCUAAAUACUCCUGACUGACCGAUAGUGAACCAGUACCGUGAGGGAAAGGCGAAAAGAACCCCGGCGAGGGGAGUGAAAAAGAACCUGAAACCGUGUACGUACAAGCAGUGGGAGCACGCUUAGGCGUGUGACUGCGUACCUUUUGUAUAAUGGGUCAGCGACUUAUAUUCUGUAGCAAGGUUAACCGAAUAGGGGAGCCGAAGGGAAACCGAGUCUUAACUGGGCGUUAAGUUGCAGGGUAUAGACCCGAAACCCGGUGAUCUAGCCAUGGGCAGGUUGAAGGUUGGGUAACACUAACUGGAGGACCGAACCGACUAAUGUUGAAAAAUUAGCGGAUGACUUGUGGCUGGGGGUGAAAGGCCAAUCAAACCGGGAGAUAGCUGGUUCUCCCCGAAAGCUAUUUAGGUAGCGCCUCGUGAAUUCAUCUCCGGGGGUAGAGCACUGUUUCGGCAAGGGGGUCAUCCCGACUUACCAACCCGAUGCAAACUGCGAAUACCGGAGAAUGUUAUCACGGGAGACACACGGCGGGUGCUAACGUCCGUCGUGAAGAGGGAAACAACCCAGACCGCCAGCUAAGGUCCCAAAGUCAUGGUUAAGUGGGAAACGAUGUGGGAAGGCCCAGACAGCCAGGAUGUUGGCUUAGAAGCAGCCAUCAUUUAAAGAAAGCGUAAUAGCUCACUGGUCGAGUCGGCCUGCGCGGAAGAUGUAACGGGGCUAAACCAUGCACCGAAGCUGCGGCAGCGACGCUGAUGCGUUGUUGGGUAGGGGAGCGUUCUGUAAGCCUGCGAAGGUGUGCUGUGAGGCAUGCUGGAGGUAUCAGAAGUGCGAAUGCUGACAUAAGUAACGAUAAAGCGGGUGAAAAGCCCGCUCGCCGGAAGACCAAGGGUUCCUGUCCAACGUUAAUCGGGGCAGGGUGAGUCGACCCCUAAGGCGAGGCCGAAAGGCGUAGUCGAUGGGAAACAGGUUAAUAUUCCUGUACUUGGUGUUACUGCGAAGGGGGGACGGAGAAGGCUAUGUUGGCCGGGCGACGGUUGUCCCGGUUUAAGCGUGUAGGCUGGUUUUCCAGGCAAAUCCGGAAAAUCAAGGCUGAGGCGUGAUGACGAGGCACUACGGUGCUGAAGCAACAAAUGCCCUGCUUCCAGGAAAAGCCUCUAAGCAUCAGGUAACAUCAAAUCGUACCCCAAACCGACACAGGUGGUCAGGUAGAGAAUACCAAGGCGCUUGAGAGAACUCGGGUGAAGGAACUAGGCAAAAUGGUGCCGUAACUUCGGGAGAAGGCACGCUGAUAUGUAGGUGAGGUCCCUCGCGGAUGGAGCUGAAAUCAGUCGAAGAUACCAGCUGGCUGCAACUGUUUAUUAAAAACACAGCACUGUGCAAACACGAAAGUGGACGUAUACGGUGUGACGCCUGCCCGGUGCCGGAAGGUUAAUUGAUGGGGUUAGCGCAAGCGAAGCUCUUGAUCGAAGCCCCGGUAAACGGCGGCCGUAACUAUAACGGUCCUAAGGUAGCGAAAUUCCUUGUCGGGUAAGUUCCGACCUGCACGAAUGGCGUAAUGAUGGCCAGGCUGUCUCCACCCGAGACUCAGUGAAAUUGAACUCGCUGUGAAGAUGCAGUGUACCCGCGGCAAGACGGAAAGACCCCGUGAACCUUUACUAUAGCUUGACACUGAACAUUGAGCCUUGAUGUGUAGGAUAGGUGGGAGGCUUAGAAGUGUGGACGCCAGUCUGCAUGGAGCCGACCUUGAAAUACCACCCUUUAAUGUUUGAUGUUCUAACGUUGACCCGUAAUCCGGGUUGCGGACAGUGUCUGGUGGGUAGUUUGACUGGGGCGGUCUCCUCCUAAAGAGUAACGGAGGAGCACGAAGGUUGGCUAAUCCUGGUCGGACAUCAGGAGGUUAGUGCAAUGGCAUAAGCCAGCUUGACUGCGAGCGUGACGGCGCGAGCAGGUGCGAAAGCAGGUCAUAGUGAUCCGGUGGUUCUGAAUGGAAGGGCCAUCGCUCAACGGAUAAAAGGUACUCCGGGGAUAACAGGCUGAUACCGCCCAAGAGUUCAUAUCGACGGCGGUGUUUGGCACCUCGAUGUCGGCUCAUCACAUCCUGGGGCUGAAGUAGGUCCCAAGGGUAUGGCUGUUCGCCAUUUAAAGUGGUACGCGAGCUGGGUUUAGAACGUCGUGAGACAGUUCGGUCCCUAUCUGCCGUGGGCGCUGGAGAACUGAGGGGGGCUGCUCCUAGUACGAGAGGACCGGAGUGGACGCAUCACUGGUGUUCGGGUUGUCAUGCCAAUGGCACUGCCCGGUAGCUAAAUGCGGAAGAGAUAAGUGCUGAAAGCAUCUAAGCACGAAACUUGCCCCGAGAUGAGUUCUCCCUGACCCUUUAAGGGUCCUGAAGGAACGUUGAAGACGACGACGUUGAUAGGCCGGGUGUGUAAGCGCAGCGAUGCGUUGAGCUAACCGGUACUAAUGAACCGUGAGGCUUAACCUU